GUGUCAGCAGCCGCGGUAAUACAGAGGUGCCAAGCGUUAGGCGGAAUCACUGGGCUUAAAGCGCGUGUAGGUGGGUCGUUAAGUGUCCGCGUGAAAUCCCACGGCUCAACCGUGGAACUGCCGGGCAUACUGGCGAUCUUGAGGCAUUCAGGGGCGAGCGGAACAAAUGGUGGAGCGGUGAAAUGCGUAGAUAUCAUUUGGAACGCCAAUGGUGAAAACAGCUCGCUGGGAAUGAUCUGACACUGAGACGCGAAAGCCAGGGGAGCGAACGGGAUUAGAUACCCCGGUAGUCC
rnacentral:rRNA from 1 species